UGCGUAGGCGGUCUUGCAAGUCAGGAGUGAAAGGCAUUGGCUCAACCAAUGUAAGCUCUUGAAACUGUUAGACUUGAGUGCAGGAGAGGAAAGUGGAAUUCCUAGUGUAGAGGUGAAAUUCGUAGAUAUUAGGAGAACACCAGUGGCGAAGGCGACUUUCUGGACUGUAACUGACGCUGAGGCACGAGAGCGUGGGGAGCGAACA
rnacentral:rRNA from 1 species